rnacentral:rRNA from 1 species
AGUAGAACGCUGAAGGAGGAGCUUGCUUCUCUGGAUGAGUUGCGAACGGGUGAGUAACGCGUAGGUAACCUGCCUGGUAGCGGGGGAUAACUAUUGGAAACGAUAGCUAAUACCGCAUAAUAGUAGAUGUUGCAUGACAUUUGCUUAAAAGGUGCAAUUGCAUCACUACCAGAUGGACCUGCGUUGUAUUAGCUAGUUGGUGGGGUAACGGCUCACCAAGGCGACGAUACAUAGCCGACCUGAGAGGGUGAUCGGCCACACUGGGACUGAGACACGGCCCAGACUCCGACGGGAGGCAGCAGUAGGGAAUCUUCGGCAAUGGACGGAAGUCUGACCGAGCAACGCCGCGUGAGUGAAGAAGGUUUUCGGAUCGUAAAGCUCUGUUGUAAGAGAAGAACGAGUGUGAGAGUGGAAAGUUCACACUGUGACGGUAUCUUACCAGAAAGGGACGGCUAACUACGUGCCAGCAGCCGCGGUAAUACGUAGGUCCCGAGCGUUGUCCGGAUUUAUUGGGCGUAAAGCGAGCGCAGGCGGUUAGAUAAGUCUGAAGUUAAAGGCUGUGGCUUAACCAUAGUACGCUUUGGAAACUGUUUAACUUGAGUGCAAGAGGGGAGAGUGGAAUUCCAUGUGUAGCGGUGAAAUGCGUAGAUAUAUGGAGGAACACCGGUGGCGAAAGCGGCUCUCUGGCUUGUAACUGACGCUGAGGCUCGAAAGCGUGGGGAGCAAACAGGAUUAGAUACCCUGGUAGUCCACGCCGUAAACGAUGAGUGCUAGGUGUUAGACCCUUUCCGGGGUUUAGUGCCGCAGCUAACGCAUUAAGCACUCCGCCUGGGGAGUACGACCGCAAGGUUGAAACUCAAAGGAAUUGACGGGGGCCCGCACA